rnacentral:rRNA from 1 species
AGAGUUUGAUCAUGGCUCAGAAUCAACGCUGGCGGCGCGCUUAACACAUGCAAGUCGAACGAGAAAGCCCCGCAAGGGGUGAGUAAAGUGGCGUACGGGUGAGUAACACGUGGGUAAUCUACCUUUUGGUGGGGAAUAACCCUGGGAAACCGGGGCUAAUACCGCAUAAGCUCGAAAGAGGAAAGGAGCAAUUCGCCGAAAGAGGAGCCCGCGGCUGAUUAGCUAGUUGGUGAGGUAAAGGCUCACCAAGGCUAUGAUCGGUAGCCGGCCUGAGAGGGCACACGGCCACACUGGCACUGAAACACGGGCCAGACUCCUACGGGAGGCAGCAGUGGGGAAUCUUGCACAAUGGGGGAAACCCUGAUGCAGCGACGCCGCGUGAGCGAUGAAGCCCUUCGGGGUGUAAAGCUCUUUCGGCAGGGACGAUAAUGACGGUACCUGAAGAAGAAGCUGCGGCUAACUACGUGCCAGCAGCCGCGGUAAUACGUAGGCAGCGAGCGUUGUUCGGAGUUACUGGGCGUAAAGAGUGCGUAGGCGGUUUUCUAAGUUUGGUGUGAAAUCUCCCGGCUUAACUGGGAGGGUGCGCCGAAGACUGGAAGGCUAGAGUAUGGGAGAGGUAAGCGGAAUUCCUGGUGUAGCGGUGAAAUGCGUAGAUAUCAGGAGGAACACCUGCGGUGUAGACGGCUUACUGGACCAUAACUGACGCUGAGGCACGAAAGCGUGGGUAGCAAACAGGAUUAGAUACCCUAGUAGUCC